AUGUGUGUCCUAACCCAAAAUACUUUUGUGGAAAUGUAUCAAGAGUUUCAAGACAAAUUGGAUUCUUUCCAGGCUACUUACAGGUUAAAAGUUGUGGUUUUGUGGGAGCACGAAUGGACAGCCCCCAAAAAGUCUGAUCCUCAUGUUCAAGCCUUCCUUUCCAGCUAUGACACACUAGAACCCCUGGAACCACGACAGGCCUUGUAUGGAGGCCGUACCAAUGCUUUGACCUUGCGGUAUGUAGCGCAACCCGACGAGACAAUAGGAUAUGUAGAUUUUACAUCCCUUUAUCCUCAUGUAAUGAGUUCCUCAUGCUAUCCUAUGGGGCAUCCGGAAAUUAUUCACCGCAACUUUGACUUACCCCAAAACUAUUUUGGUCUGAUCAAAGCAACUGUCUACCCUCCUAGGGGUUUGUUUAUACCAGUGUUUACUUACAGGGGCCCUCAAGGAAAACUUUUCUUUCCCCUUUGUCGCACCUGCAGUGAAAACAACAACCAGCAAAACCCUUGUGAUCACUCAGAUCAAGAAAGAGCCCUGACAGGUGUAUGGGUCACAGUUGAAUUCUCUAAGGCUCUAGAGAUGGGCAACUCACUUUGGGGCAAAUUAUCGCAGAGAUGCAAUAUGUUAACAACGUCGAUCAUUAAAAACCCCAAAGAAUUUUGGGAAUUUGUUUUUUCGGACGAAUACGAAAUUUCACAUUUUUCAUUCUUGAGUCAAGACAUUGCCCUGGUGCAAUGGAGGCGCCAGAAGUGGGUUCUACCCCCGGGUAAUGUAAAUGUGUUUAUUGCAGCAUUUACCACAGCCUAUUGCCGACUUGAACUGUACACCCUCAUGGAACAGCUUCAGAGGCGGGUUCUUUACCACAACACAGACUCUGUGGUCUAUAUAAGCAAACAGGGUGAUUGGAACCCCCAACUUGGCGACUAUCUGGGUGGUUUAACGAGUGAACUUGAAGAGGGUGACCAUAUCACAGAAUGGUCCUCAUGUGGACCCGAAAGCUAUGCUUUUAGGACUAAAGACAAUCACGUGGUGUUGAAAGCCAAAGGCAUGACUCAAAACUAUGAAAAUGCCCCGCGUGUAAACUUGGAAUCAAUCACACGCUUGGUCGAGGGUUUCAUAAACAACAGGAAUAGUGACUUGGAGAUUUUGAGCUCCUACAAAAACAUUGUUAGGGAUAAAAAGGGCUUCCAUCUAAGGAACACCCCACUAACUAAAAGAUUCAGGGUAGUCUAUGACAAGAGACUGCUAUUGCCUGACGGGACCACAUUGCCCUUUGGCUACUGA
rnacentral:lncRNA from 13 species